GAAAUGCGAUAAGUAAUGUGAAUCGCAGAAUUCAGUGAAUCAUCGAAUCUUUGAACGCACCUUGCGCUCCUUGGUAUUCCUUGGAGCAUGCCUGUUUGAGUAUCAUGAAAUCUUCAAAGUAAAUCUUUUGUUAACUCAAUUGGUUUCUACUUUGGUAUUGGAGGUCUUUGCAGCUUCACACCUGCUCCUCUUUGUUCAUUAGCUGGAUCUCAGUGUUAUGCUUGGUUCCACUCGGCGUGAUAAGUUAUCUAUCGCUGAGGACACUGUAAAAGGUGGCCAAGGUAAAUGCAGAUGAACCGCUUCUAAUAGUCCAUUGACUUGGACAAUACUUUUAUGAUCUGAUCUCAAAUCAGGUAGGACUACCCACUGAACUUAAGC
rnacentral:misc_RNA from 1 species